GAUGAAGAACGUAGCGAAAUGCGAUACUUGGUGUGAAUUGCAGAAUCCCGUGAACCAUCGAGUCUUUGAACGCAAGUUGCGCCCGAAGCCAUUAGGCCGAGGGCACGCCUGCCUGGGCGUCACACGUCGUUGCCCCCCCAUCUACUCCUUCGGGAUUGCGGGGGGCGGAUGAUGGCCUCCCGUGCGCCUCGUCGCGCGGUUGGCAUAAAUGCCAAGUCUUCGGCGACGCACGCCACGACAAUCGGUGGUUGCGAAACCUCGGUUGCCCGUCGUGUGCGGUCGUCGCGCAUCGAGGGCUCGAAAAAAUUGUCGGGCUCCGGCUCGGCUUUCAACGCGACCCCAGGUCAGGCGGGGUUACCCGCUGAAUUUAAGCAUAUCAAUAAGCGGAGGA
rnacentral:misc_RNA from 1 species